rnacentral:rRNA from 1 species
AUACGAAGGGUGCAAGCGUUAAUCGGAAUUACUGGGCGUAAAGCGCGCGUAGGUGGUUCGUUAAGUUGGAUGUGAAAGCCCCGGGCUCAACCUGGGAACUGCAUCCAAAACUGGCGAGCUAGAGUACGGUAGAGGGUGGUGGAAUUUCCUGUGUAGCGGUGAAAUGCGUAGAUAUAGGAAGGAACACCAGUGGCGAAGGCGACCACCUGGACUGAUACUGACACUGAGGUGCGAAAGCGUGGGGAGCAAACAGGAUUAGAUACCCUAGUAGUCC